AUGAAACCGUCAACCCCCUCUACACUAGCAUUGCAUCUCCCUCCCUGUGUCCUCCAUCACCACCCAACACCAAAACGACCUUUGUAUUCUCCAUACCGCCAACACUCCCAUCAACAUCGUCCUCCGUUAACCGCAACUGCUUCACUGUCUCAAACCCUCCACCACCGCCGCCACAGUCACAAAUUCAUAAUCACCGUGAACUUGAUUUAA